AAGUCGUAACAAGGUAACCGUAGGUGAACCUGCGGUUGGAUCAUUAAUAAAAUCUAAACCAAUUUUUAAAGGUGAGCCAAGGGAAGGGAAGGGAAGGGAAGGGGGAGAAUAACUCUCUCCCCGACCGACCCCGACCCCCUUGGCUUUCUCUUUAAACCUAAUGUGAACUUUUGUGUAAUAAUUGUCUCUGGUGGGUUAAAACAAAAAGGUUUUUUUCUUAACUGAAUGAAAUAUUUUGAGUUUCUUUUAAAGCAGAAACUACCCACCAAAACACUUUAAAACACUUUUUAACGAAUGAGCCGCUAUUUUUUUAAACUAAAAAAUUAAAAAAAACAACAACUUUUGACAACGGAUCUCUUGGCUCUC
rnacentral:misc_RNA from 1 species